GACGAACGCUGGCGGCGCGCCUAACACAUGCAAGUCGAACGGAGCUGAGAGAAGCUUGCUUUUCUUAGCUUAGUGGCGAACGGGUGAGUAACGCGUGAGUAACCUGCCCUGGAGUGGGGGACAACAGUUGGAAACGACUGCUAAUACCGCAUAAGCCCACGAUCCGGCAUCGGAUUGAGGGAAAAGGAUUUAUUCGCUUCAAGAUGGACUCGCGUCCAAUUAGCUAGUUGGUGAGGUAACGGCCCACCAAGGCGACGAUUGGUAGCCGGACUGAGAGGUUGAACGGCCACAUUGGGACUGAGACACGGCCCAGACUCCUACGGGAGGCAGCAGUGGGGGAUAUUGCACAAUGGGGGAAACCCUGAUGCAGCGACGCCGCGUGGAGGAAGAAGGUUUUCGGAUUGUAAACUCCUGUCGUGAGGGACGAUAAUGACGGUACCUAACAAGAAAGCACCGGCUAACUACGUG
rnacentral:rRNA from 1 species